AACGAACGCUGGCGGCAGGCUUAACACAUGCAAGUCGAACGCCCCUUACGGGGAGUGGCAGACGGGUGAGUAACGCGUGGGAAUCUACCCAUCUCUACGGAAUAACGCAUGGAAACGUGUGCUAAUACCGUAUACGCCCUUUGGGGGAAAGAUUUAUCGGAGAUGGAUGAGCCCGCGUUGGAUUAGCUAGUUGGUGGGGUAAAGGCCUACCAAGGCGACGAUCCAUAGCUGGUCUGAGAGGAUGAUCAGCCACAUUGGGACUGAGACACGGCCCAAACUCCUACGGGAGGCAGCAGUGGGGAAUAUUGGACCAUGGGCGAAAGCCUGAUCCAGCCAUGCCGCGUGAGUGAUGAAGGCCCUAGGGUUGUAAAGCUCUUUCACCGGUGAAGAUAAUGACGGUAACCGGAGAAGAAGCCCCGGCUAACUUCGUGCCAGCCGCCGCGGUAACAC
rnacentral:rRNA from 1 species